ACUCUGGAGAGUCCCUGAUAAGGGCGCCGAAGGUGUACGGCAAUCCGUGUGGAUUGUUAAUCUCUCAGGCAAAAGGACAGAGCA
rnacentral:ncRNA from 1 species